AUUGAGAAGAGUCUCCAAUAGAGAUGCAGUUGGAAUCGCUUAAGAAUUAUGUUGUUAAAGAUGUAAUGGAACCUGUUUUUAAAUUUGGAUAGUGAGUUCUCAAAUACAUUUUAAAGCUCAAGAGCAAAGUAGGGGUGUUUUCAAUUUGCUUACUAUUGAACCUUCUCAGCUUCCUCAACUGCAAGGCAUGUAGCUUUCUCUGUGAAUGAAAAUACUAGCAAAUAAAAUGCUGCUUUCAGAAUCUUGUCCAAAAGACUACAGUGGGAAUCCAUGGGGGAAAAAAAGAGAUCCAAAAAAGAAAUUAAUUAAUAUGCAGUAGGUCAAAAGAAUGAUGGUGAUCAUAAAUUUACUGAAUCAGAGUGGAAAGUAUAAGGAAAAAUGAAGCAAUCUGAUAUUCUACUUUCUGUCCUAUUAUAGAUUUUUGUUUUAUGGAAGGAAAUGAUGAAGAGAAUAGUAUGCAUUUCUCUUUCAAUGGCUUGAAUGGAAAAUGUUUUUAAAAAGUCAGUCUCCUGGUCCCUAAUCUAAAUUAUGGUCAUUUUCAGUUUCCUGGGUUUUAUACAUAACUCUAGAUUCUUCUUAGUGUGAUAUUUUCGAAGCAAACCUUAAUACAGUCUCAAUGUGUGGUUUCCCCCCUGGGUUUUAGUUUCAGAUACUGUAUUGUGAGUCUUCAGACAUGUUGAGUCCCCCUAAUGUUAAAUGGUAAUUGCCAGAAGUAUAGGUGGGGAUGGAAACAUUGUUAUAUUUGGUUCAUUUUUCACACUUCAGCAGUUAUCCCUUUUUCUCUCUUGCUGUAUGCUUAUUAGGGUAUGAAAUGCAGGUGUGUGGGAAAUGGCUAGCGGACAUUGACAGGUUAUUUUGUUGGUCACUGCCUAAUUAGUAGCAUAGUGGAUGCACCCUGCUAAGCUUUAGUGUGGGGCAGCAGAGCUGGUCUGUUCUAAUUUCCUCACGGCUUUGAUAUUCGCCAAGAGAUUGACGGUUUACACAAAAAGCCAAGGCCCGAAGGAGGCCUGUGGAAACAAUGAGCCUUCUUGCUUGUAGACACCACAGAUGUGAGAGAAAGCUGGCUAAAAACAAUUGGCUGACACUGUCUAAUUGUCUCCGAUGUCAGCGUCAUUAAUGUUUUCCCAUGUAAAACGGAGAAGGCCAAGGUUGUAUCCUCCCUUUAUUUUGAGGCACAUGAUUAUGUAACUUAUCGAGAUUCAGAUUAAGUGUUAAUUGUAUUUGUGCAAUAAAGAAACUGAAGCUACCUUGGAUUUAAUGAAUAUGUGCUUAAUUAAUUUUGACAGCUUUUAUCUUUAUUACCUUCUGAAUAAUUCUUAUCGGAAUUAAUAACAUUUUCCAGUAAUUAAAAUCACAACUUAUUUAAUGGUAAUAUAUAUUUACAUUUCUUUCUAAGUUCAAACCAGGGAAAUGAUUAUGAAACUUCGCUUAUCUUUUGGCAAGCCUCUUAUGAGGGUGUUAAGCAAUAAUUAGAACAAAUACUUUGGGAUGUCAGCAGAGCUUUUCAAAUUAGACAGCUGACCCAAGUGUUCUAAAGAAAUACAUGUUAAUAGCCAAGAAGUACAAAAUUACCAGGCUACUCCUGUGAAACUCCAAACCUAUUUUUAUCUGCGAAAUGGCUUUAAAGAUUUUUUCCUGAGGAGGGGAAAACUGGGGAAGGUGACACCCUAGGAAGAACUGACAGCUUGGACUGAAAUUAAACAUUUUUUUUUGCAAGGCAAGACCUGUAGCUUCCUACAGCGCUGAUGAUAUAUUAACCCAAGCUGAAGUAUGUUGCAUGUCAUUGUGAUCAGCAAAUAUUAUACCGUGUGUACUGUGCGGCAACCUCUGUGACACCAAAAUAAGGCAACUACUGUAGUUUCUGCCUCUUUUGAUAUUUCUUAGGUCUUUUUGGGGCAAUACAUUUUUCUCAUCUGAGCAGUAUAAGAGUAGUGGCAGAGCAAUGGAGUUGUGCCCAGGAGAAGAGAUAUUCUUUGAUUUGUUUAUGGUCUGUGAUGCUUCUGAGUCAGGGAAGCCCACAUAUCCUGAGUUCCACAAUGAGUUAAAAUAUGUCAAAUUUGAUUCUCAAAAAUAAUCUAUUGGAAGACUUGGCCUCCCUCAAAAUCAUUUAUCCAGGAAGCUCCAUGUUUUCCUCUGAACCCUCUUACUCACCCAGCUUUGUUGCUUGAGUGCAUAACUACCCUUGACAGAAAGCAUUGGUUUUUGAACUUGAGGUCAUGCCUAGAAAAUCAUAUUGCCGAGUGUUUGGCUUCUUGUAUCCCUUUCUUACCUGCACAAUAGCACUGGCAAAGUGCUGUCCACACAGUGAAUGCCCAUUGUGUGUGGUUCCAAUACAUUGUCCACAGUGGUUUCCUAGGGGUUAUGUUACAGUACAGCUUAUGACCAAAGAGAGCCUGGUGUUGUGGAAAAGCCCAUAGCCUUUAGGGUUAGAUAGAUCUUAGUUUGAAUCUAGCCUCAGGUACUCAUUAGCUGAAUGACUUUGGACAUGAUCUUUUUGAGUCUCAAGUUUUUGUUUUGUUUUGUUGUGUUGUGUUGUGUUUUUGAGACAGGGUCUCGCUCUGUCACCCAUACUGGAGUUCAGUGGCAUGAUCUUGGCUUACUGCAACCUCCACCUCCUGGGCUCAAGUGAUCCUCCCACCUCAGCCUCCCAAGUAGCUGGAACCCUGGAACCACAGCCAGGUUUGCCCUCCAAUCAGUGGCCUGCCUUCAUUUUCCAGAUUGAUGAAGUCUGCCUCAGAGAAGGGGAUGGAGUCUUGCCCUGUCGCCCAGGCUGGAGUAUAAUGGUGUGAUCCCAGCUCACUGCAACUUCUGCCUCCUGGGUUCAAAUGAGUCUCCUGCCUCAGUUUCCUGAGUAGCUGGAAUUACAAGCACCUGCCACCACACCAAGCUAAUUUUUGUAUACCUGUUUGGGAUGUAUACCUCUUUGGAUUUUGAGAAGUACAUACAGUCAUGUAUCCAACACUCCAGUAUCAUACAGAAUAAUUCUGUCAUUCUAAAAAUUCCCCCGUGUGGCCCUUUUAUAGUUUAUACAACACUCCAGUAUCAUACAGAAUAAUUCUAUCGUUCUAAAAAUUCCCCUGUGUGGCCCUUUUAUAGUCGCCCUUCCCUUCUUCCUCAACCCCUGGUAACCAUGAUAUGUUUCUUAUUUUUAUAGUUUUGCCUUUUCAUGAUGUCACAUAAAUUGAACCAUACUGUACAUAGCCUUUUGGGUCUGGAUUAUUAAAUUUAACAGAAUGCAUUUAAGAUCUAUAUGCACUGUAUCCACUUAGUAGCUCAUUCUUCUUUAUUGAUGUAUAUAUCCUAUUUUAUGAAAUAUAUAUGUAUAUAUUUGUUUAUUCAUUCACCUGUUGAGAGACAUCUUGGCUUUUUCCAGUUAUUCGUGAUUAUUAAUAAAGCUGUUAUAAACAAUUGCAUAUAGGUUUUUCUGUGAAUAUAAGAUUUCUGUUCAUCUGGGUAAGCCCCAGGAAUGG